rnacentral:piRNA from 1 species
GCAAAGUACCCUAGGUUGACAUGAGAUGA